AAAGUGGGGAUUGUCCUUAAAUUGGACUUUGAAAAAGCCUAUGAUAAGGUGAAUUGGGACUUUCUCCUAGAAUGCCACAAGAUGCGGGGCUUUAACGAUACUUGGUGUAGAUGGAUUGAACAGAUACUGCGUAAUGGGACAGUUAGCAUCAAGCUUAAUGGUAGUGUUGGGCCGUAUUUUCAAAGCAAAAAAGGGGUAAGACAGGGGGACCCGCACUCUCCCUUUCCAUUCAAUCUAGCCGUUGAAUGCCUCACCAAAAUGAUCAAAAAUGCCCCAAAAAACAAACUUAUUGUGGGCUUGGCUGCUGAUCUUAUUCCUGAUGGGGUGGCGGUCCUGCAAUAUGCGGAUGAUACUAUCAUUUGCAUUGAAGAUGAUAUUGAGAAGGCAGUCAACCUGAAGGUGCUGCUGUAUAUGUUUGAGAUGAUGUCUGGUCUGAAAGUUAACUUUCAGAAAAGUGAGAUUCUCACUGCGGGUGGAGAUGAUAGUGUGGUGAAAAAAUAUGCAGAAAUCUUUAAUUGUGAGGUUGGCAGUUUCCCACUCAAAUACUUGGGGAUGCCUGUGAGCUACGCUAAUCUAAGAAUGUCCGAUUGGGAGUUUAUUGUUAGUAAAUACCUGAAGAGGUUCGAGGCCUGGAUUGGCAACGCUGCAUCAUUGGGGGGGGGGGGGAGACACACUCUACGUGAUUCUGUCGUCACACAGAUCUCUCUCUAUCACAUGUCUAUGUGGCUCAAGAAUAAAACUUUCAUUGAGAGGCUAGAUAAACACAGACGCAAGUUCUUUUGGCAAGGUUGCAACAAAAAAAGGAGAUACUAUCUUGUUAAGUGGAGCAAGAUAUGUAGAUCCAAAGACAAAGGGGGGUUAGGUAUAAAA
rnacentral:rRNA from 1 species